GUGGGGAAUAUUGGACAAUGGGGGGAACCCUGAUCCAGCCAUGCCGCGUGUGUGAAGAAGGCCUUUUGGUUGUAAAGCACUUUAAGCGAGGAGGAGGCUACCGAGAUUAAUACUCUUGGAUAGUGGACGUUACUCGCAGAAUAAGCACCGGCUAACUACGUGCCAGCAGCCGCGGUAAUACGUAGGGUGCAAGCGUUAAUCGGAAUUACUGGGCGUAAAGCGUGCGCAGGUGGCUAAUUAAGUCAAAUGUGAAAUCCCCGAGCUUAACUUGGGAAUUGCAUUCGAUACUGGUUAGCUAGAGUAUGGGAGAGGAUGGUAGAAUUCCAGGUGUAGCGGUGAAAUGCGUAGAGAUCUGGAGGAAUACCGAUGGCGAAGGCAGCCAUCUGGCCUAAUACUGACACUGAGGUGCGAAAGCAUGGGGAGCAAACAGGAUUAGAAACCCGUGUAGUCC
rnacentral:rRNA from 1 species